rnacentral:lncRNA from 1 species
GUGCUAUAUGAGCUAUCGAAGAGGAGCCUGGCCGGGUUAAUGGACUCAGGGGGUGUCCUGAGCAGGACUGGUUCCGCUGCUGUCUCUCCGGUGUUCCUGGCAAGGGCUGGGCCUGACAGGUUUCUUUGCAGCUCACCUCAAAGCUGGGAGAUGGGGCUGCCUUGCGUGGUCAUGAUCACUGUCCUCUGGGUCCAGAUCCUGCUGCAAACCCCUCAGGUGGAAGCCAAGGGGAUCAAGAUGACCAUGGAGUACAAUGCUUUUGAUGAC